GUGAUACUGUCAGCUCAGUAACCUUUGCAUGGUCAGGAAGGAGAGAUCACAUUCAGAGUGAGACACAGACUGACCCUUGCUUGGAUUGCUAACUCUCAAAUCCCUCCAAGACUCCAGACUUUGUGGAAGCAGGACAAUCAUUAUAUUUUCAUCAAAACAUCCUAUACGCAAGCUAUUGACACGAUUGAUAGCAUGUUGUAAUAAAAAGCCCAUCGCUAUGGUGAUAGAGAACAAGGUCCAAGAAGCUCAACGAUGUCUUGUUCAAAGUAACCAAGUUGACUUUCAACCACCUUAAACAUUCAGUAUUCGUACCAUUGCUGACCAGAGAGAGCAGUGUCAUCAUCUAGAGCAACCCACCAAUGCUCCUUUAACCAAACCUUUAUAAAAAUUUACUUUUAUUUGGAA